ensembl:lncRNA
CAUUAAUGUAACCAGGGCACCAGCACCUGCACACAGUAGAUAACAAGGGAAGCAGUGUGGAGAUCCUCCACAGACAAGGACUCUCAUUUCCCCUCCAUCACGUAGAAUAGUGCUUAUCCUCAGCUUACUGAAUUGCUAUAACCAUGAAUCCUCCUCUAAGUACCUCUCUUCAUUAGCAGCAGAAUAUCUUUCACUAUUCUACAUAACACUAUGGAGAAUGAUGCAGAGUGUGGUGCAGUUUGCUCAGACUGGGUAUUCUCAUACACACAGUGGAGAGAUCUGCAGUUGGUUGGCUUGGACAAGAGCAACGCCUUCUUCCAUCUUUGCAUGUCCUCCAAUUCUCAAACCAACAGUUACUAAAAAGUAAAAG